GCCACCGUAGCAUAGCCUGGUUGUGCAGCGCACUCGUAAUGCGCAGGUCGUGGGUUCAAAUCCCACCGGUGGCU
rnacentral:tRNA from 1 species